GGGCGUAUGGUGUAGUGGUAUCACACAUGCUUUGCAUUAAUGUUUCCUUCUGGGACAUGACCGUUGUAUGUAGUCCAGGGUUCAAUCCCCUGUGCGUCCA